GCUGGGUGUGGUGGCCCACGCCUGUUAUCCCAGUGGCUCAGGAGGCUGAGGCAGGAGGAUCCCAAGUUCAGAGCCAGCCUCAGCCACUUAGGGAGGCCCUGAGCUACUCAGUGAGACCCUGUCUCUA
rnacentral:sRNA from 1 species